ensembl:lncRNA
AUGAGGUGUUUAUUACCCCUAGAUAUGAGGUGUUUAUUACUCCUAGAUAUGAGGUGUUUAUUACUCCUAGAUAUGAGGUGUUUAUUACUCCUAGAUAUGAGGUGUUUAUUACUCCUAGAUAUGAGGUGUUUAUUACUCCUAGAUAUGAGGUGUUUAUUACUCCUAGAUAUGAGGUGUUUAUUACACCUAGAUAUGAGGUGUUUAUUACCCCUAGAUAUGAGGUGUUUAUUACCCCUAGAUAUGAGGUGUUUACUACUCCUAGAUAUGAGGUGUUUAUUACUCCUAGAUAUGAGGUGUUUAUUACUCCUAGAUAUGAGGUGUUUAUUACACCUAGAUAUGAGGUGUUUAUUACUCCUAGAUAUGAGGUGUUUAUUACUCCUAGAUAUGAGGUGUUUAUUACUCCUAGAUAUGAGGUGUUUAUUACUCCUAGAUAUGAGGUGUUUAUUACUCCUAGAUAUGAGGUGUUUAUUACUCCUAGAUAUGAGGUGUUUAUUACUCCUAGAUAUGAGGUGUUUAUUACUCCUAGAUAUGAGGUGUUUAUUACUCCUAGAUAUGAGGUGUUUAUUACACCUAGAUAUGAGGUGUUUAUUACCCCUAGAUAUGAGGUGUUUAUUACUCCUAGAUAUGAGGUGUUUAUUACUCCUAGAUAUGAGGUGUUUAUUACUCCUAGAUAUGAGGUGUUUAUUACUCCUAGAUAUGAGGUGUUUAUUACUCCUAGAUAUGAGGUGUUUAUUACUCCUAGAUAUGAGGUGUUUAUUACUCCUAGAUAUGAGGUGUUUAUUACUCCUAGAUAUGAGGUGUUUAUUACCCCUAGAUAUGAGGUGUUUAUUACUCCUAGAUAUGAGGUGUUUACUACUCCUAGAUAUGAGGUGUUUAUUACUCCUAGAUAUGAGGUGUUUAUUACUCCUAGAUAUGAGGUGUUUAUUACUCCUAGAUAUGAGGUGUUUAUUACUCCUAGAUAUGAGGUGUUUAUUACUCCUAGAUAUGAGGUGUUUAUUACUCCUAGAUAUGAGGUGUUUAUUACCCCUAGAUAUGAGGUGUUUAUUACUCCUAGAUAUGAGGUGUUUACUACUCCUAGAUAUGAGGUGUUUAUUACUCCUAGAUAUGAGGUGUUUAUUACUCCUAGAUAUGAGGUGUUUAUUACCCCUAGAUAUGAGGUGUUUACUACUCCUAGAUAUGAGGUGUUUAUUACUCCUAGAUAUGAGGUGUUUAUUACUCCUAGAUAUGAGGUGUUUAUUACUCCUAGAUAUGAGGUGUUUAUUACUCCUAGAUAUGAGGUGUUUAUUACUCCUAGAUAUGAGGUGUUUAUUACACCUAGAUAUGAGGUGUUUACUACUCCUAGAUAUGAGGUGUUUAUUACUCCUAGAUAUGAGGUGUUUAUUACUCCUAGAUAUGAGGUGUUUAUUACUCCUAGAUAUGAGGUGUUUAUUACUCCUAGAUAUGAGGUGUUUAUUACUCCUAGAUAUGAGGUGUUUAUUACUCCUAGAUAUGAGGUGUUUAUUACUCCUAGAUAUGAGGUGUUUAUUACUCCUAGAUAUGAGGUGUUUAUUACUCCUAGAUAUGAGGUGUUUACUACUCCUAGAUAUGAGGUGUUUAUUACUCCUAGAUAUGAGGUGUUUAUUACUCCUAGAUAUGAGGUGUUUAUUACUCCUAGAUAUGAGGUGUUUACUACUCCUAGAUAUGAGGUGUUUAUUACUCCUAGAUAUGAGGUGUUUAUUACUCCUAGAUAUGAGGUGUUUAUUACUCCUAGAUAUGAGGUGUUUAUUACUCCUAGAUAUGAGGUGUUUAUUACUCCUAGAUAUGAGGUGUUUAUUACUCCUAGAUAUGAGGUGUUUAUUACUCCUAGAUAUGAGGUGUUUAUUACUCCUAGAUAUGAGGUGUUUAUUACUCCUAGAUAUGAGGUGUUUAUUACUCCUAGAUAUGAGGUGUUUAUUACCCCUAGAUAUGAGGUGUUUAUUACUCCUAGAUAUGAGGUGUUUAUUACUCCUGGACAUGAUGGAAUGGUACUAA